AUUGAACGCUGGCGGCAUGCCUUACACAUGCAAGUCGAACGGCAGCACGGGUGCUUGCACCUGGUGGCGAGUGGCGAACGGGUGAGUAAUACAUCGGAACAUGUCCUGUAGUGGGGGAUAGCCCGGCGAAAGCCGGAUUAAUACCGCAUACGAUCUACGGAUGAAAGCGGGGGACCUUCGGGCCUCGCGCUAUAGGGUUGGCCGAUGGCUGAUUAGCUAGUUGGUGGGGUAAAGGCCUACCAAGGCGACGAUCAGUAGCUGGUCUGAGAGGACGACCAGCCACACUGGGACUGAGACACGGCCCAGACUCCUACGGGAGGCAGCAGUGGGGAAUUUUGGACAAUGGGCGAAAGCCUGAUCCAGCAAUGCCGCGUGUGUGAAGAAGGCCUUCGGGUUGUAAAGCACUUUUGUCCGGAAAGAAAUCCUUGGCCCUAAUACGGUCAGGGGAUGACGGUACCGGAAGAAUAAGCACCGGCUAACUACGUG
rnacentral:rRNA from 1 species